rnacentral:rRNA from 1 species
AUUGAACGCUGGCGGCAUGCUUUACACAUGCAAGUCGAACGGCAGCGCGGGCUUCGGCCUGGCGGCGAGUGGCGAACGGGUGAGUAAUACAUCGGAACGUGCCCAGUAGUGGGGGAUAGCUCGGCGAAAGCCGGAUUAAUACCGCAUACGACCUGAGGGUGAAAGCGGGGGAUCUUCGGACCUCGCGCUAUUGGAGCGGCCGAUGGCAGAUUAGCUAGUUGGUGGGGUAAAGGCCUACCAAGGCGACGAUCUGUAGCUGGUCUGAGAGGACGACCAGCCACACUGGGACUGAGACACGGCCCAGACUCCUACGGGAGGCAGCAGUGGGGUAUUUUGGACAAUGGGCGAAAGCCUGAUCCAGCAAUGCCGCGUGUGUGAUGAAGGCCUUCGGGUUGUAAAGCACUUUUGGCGGGAACGAAAAGGACUGUGCCAAUACCACGGUUCGAUGACGGUACCCGCAGAAUAAGCACCGGCUAACUACGUG